rnacentral:ncRNA from 1 species
CUCAUCUACGCGACGCAAAUAUUAGACUGAGACUUCGCGUACGGGCCGUCGCAGCAGCCGCCGUCGCCGUGCUUCGCACGCGCGCGGGUCUAGGCGUGCGUCGGCUUCACGCCCCUUCGAUUUUGGUGACUCUGGAUAACUGUCAGUACGAUCGCACGGGCUAGUAUCGACUAGUCUUCGCGAGCCCAUCCUAUCAACUGUCGAUGGCCCUGUAAGCGCCAACCGUGGUGGCAACGGGUAACGAGGAAUCAGGAUUCGAUUCUGGAGAGGGAGCAUGCGAAACGGCUACCACAUCCAAGGAAGGCAGCACGCGCGCAAAUUACCCACUUCCGGCACGGGGAGGUAGUGACGAAAAUAACGGCGUGUGACUCUGUCGAGGCCCCGCGAUCGGAAUGAGUAAACUUCAAAUCCGCCCCCCACGACUUGUUCGAAGAGAUCGAGACGAAAAGGAU